rnacentral:rRNA from 1 species
AUCGAACGCUGGCGGCAUGCUUUACACAUGCAAGUCGAACGGCAGCGCGGGCUUCGGCCUGGCGGCGAGUGGCGAACGGGUGAGUAAUGCAUCGGAACGUGCCCAGUAGUGGGGGAAAGCCCGGCGAAAGCCGGAUUAAUACCGCAUACGACCUGAGGGUGAAAGCGGGGGAGCGAAAGGCCUCGCGCUAUUGGAGCGGCCGAUGUCGGAUUGGCUAGUUGGUGGGGUAAAGGCUUACCAAGGCGAAGAUCCGUAGCUGGUCUGAGAGGACGACCAGCCACACUGGGACUGAGACACGGCCCAGACUCCUACGGGAGGCAGCAGUGGGGAAUUUUGGACAAUGGGGGCAACCCUGAUCCAGCCAUGCCGCGUGCGGGAAGAAGGCCUUCGGGUUGUAAACCGCUUUUGUUCGGGAAGAAAUCCUCUGGGCUAAUACCCCGGGGGGAUGACGGUACCGGAAGAAUAAGCACCGGCUAACUACGUG